CGUGUCCUACGGGACGCAGCAGUGAGGAAUAUUGGUCAAUGGGCGGGAGCCUGAACCAGCCAAGCCGCGUGAGGGACGACGGUCCUAUGGAUUGUAACCCUCUUUUGUCGGGGAACAAAGGCGCCCACGGGUGGGCGGAUGAGUGUACCCGCAGAAAAAGCAUCGGCUAACUCCGUGCCAGCAGCCGCGGUAAUACGGAGGAUGCGAGCGUUAUCCGGAUUUAUUGGGUUUACAGGGUGCGUCGGCGGACAGUCAAGUCA
rnacentral:rRNA from 1 species